rnacentral:lncRNA from 1 species
GCCGGCAGCUCGCCGCCCCCGCAGCGCUGCUCCGCCAGUUCGGGCCGGCGCGGGAGAGGCUCGGGUCGGAGGAGGCUGCGCGGAGCCCGCGGAGCCCGCGGAGCCCGGGAUGGGGAUGUGCGAGAACAGGCACGGCCAGGGUGGACCAGACGGCGCUUCACCGGGCACGAGGCCGGAGCCGCUUUGCCAGCCCAGGCCCGGCCCGGGCCCACCGCAGUGAUGCAGCAAGGACUUCGACUCCUCGAGGGCCAUCACCCGCCCGCUCCUGGGCUGCCCCAGUGCCCAGACCAGUUCUGCACCCCCUGGGCCCCGACCCUGCAGCUCUGCUGCUGCUCCCCAGCGGGCGGCCCCCGGUGAGCUCCUGCAGGCGGCAAGGCCACCGAGAAAGCCCCCAGACCCGCAGUCCACCCCUGCUCGAAGAUGCCACAUGGGUUCCUAUCUAGGAAUAAAAGGGCAAAGUUCCUACGUCGUGAAUGAAUUACAAUAAAAGUGAGACAGCAUUCAGGCUUCAGGAUGGAUGAUGAAUGUUCAAAAAGAAAAGAGAUGGAAAAUCAUCAAAAUUACCAUAAACUGUGCUGUCAACUGAAUGCAUGUUCCUUUGUAGCAUAUGCAGAGUCAAGGAAAAUUAUAUUCCUGCAUUAUAUAAUCCACCAACAUCCUCCUAACCUAUUGUCCUAAUCCUGUUUUUUUUUUUUUUUUUUUUUUUUUUAGGUUUUAUUUACCUACCGGAGAGGGAGAGGAAAAAGCAGACUCUCCCCCUGACCCUGAGAUCAUGACCUGAGCUGAAGUCAGAAGUCAGACGCUUAACCGACUGAGCCACCCAGGUGCCCCUUAAUCUAGGUUAUUCUUGAAAGCAGUGCCUGAGACAAAGGUAGGCACAUUCUAUUUCAAAAUGUGAUCCCAGGGAGCAGGAAUGAAAGGAGUGAACAGGGGAAAAAGGAAAGAAUAUAAGCAAAACAGGUAGUGUUAUGGAGUAGUCCACCACUGUUAAUAGAUGACUUAGCAUGUGCAGAUCCUUCUCAGGAUUCUUAUUCAACUUUGUCUCAGAACCACCAACUCCCAAAGAAUGAAAUGGAGUAGGAUUUAUCUCUCAGCAGCAGCUCGUCCUUGUUGAAGGCUGCUCCUAAGGGGUGUUAACUGCUACAUCUCCAUGGCGAUGCAAAGACUUGGAGAGCCGGUACCACAGCAUCACACACUGCUGCAUCAGAGAAGCCUUAGGACCGGAAGCUACAUUCCUGGUGCAUACCUGAAGCAAGGCACUAUCAGCACAGAGCGGGGCAAAACCUGCUCCAGACAGUUCACCAGAACUGUGGCUGGAAUCGGAGGUUAGAGAACAUAGGACAGUGCGUAAGAGGUAUCUUACAAGCCUAUAGAAGGUGCUCGCAGCCUCAUCUAAAUCUGUAUCCUCCUUUCUAUAGUCAAAAUUCCAGCAUCCAGCACUGUGUGGCUCAGUCGGGUAAGUGUCUGCCUUUGGCUCAGGUCAUGAUCCCGGGGUCCUGGAAUCCAGCCCUAUGUGGGCUCCAUGCUCAGCACCAAGUCUGCUUGUCGCUCUCUUUCUUCUCCCCCAACUCAUGCUUUCUCUCUCUCUCUCUUAAAUAAACAAAAUCUUAAAAAUGUCA